GCGCUAAUGAAAACGACUUGGGACGUUGUAGCACAUUGAGACUGGAACAAUUAGUCCAAAGGUAACAUGCGCAGGCAGGUGAAAUCACGGGAUUUACGUGUGAAGCCUUUAUUAGACUGCAAAGGCCAUAUUACAGCCUUUAUAGGAUUAUGCACGUAGUUAAGAGUGUUGUAAAGCAACGGCGCUAAUGAAAAAGACUUGGGACGUUGUAGCGCAUUGAGACUGGAAGGACUAGGCCAGUGGUAAGCUGCGCAGACAGGUGGAACCACGUGAUUUGCGUGUGAGGCCUUUAUUAGACUGCAAAGGGCCAUAUUACAGCAUUUAUAGGACUGUGAACGUAGUUAAGAGUGUUGUAAGGCAACGGCGAUAAUGAAAACGACUUGGGACGUUGAAGCGCAUUGAGACUGGAACGAUUAGUCCAAAGGUAACCUGCGCAGGCAGGUGAAACCACGUGAUUUACGUGUGAAGCCUUUAUUAGACUGCAAAAGGCCAUAUUACAGCCUUUAUAGGACUGUGCAUGUAGUUAAAAGUGUUGUAAGGCAACGACGCUAAUGAAAACGACCUGGGACGUUGUAGCGCAUUGAGACUGGAACGACUAGUCUAAAGGUAAGCUGCGCAGGCAGGUGAAACCACGUGAUUUACGUGUUAAGCCUUUAUUAGACUGCCAAAGGCCAUAUUACAGCCUUUAUAGGACAGUGCACGCAGUUAAGAUUGUUGUAAAGCAACGGAGCAAAUGAAAACGACUUGGGACGCUGUAGCGCAUUGAGACUGGAACGACUAGUCCACUGGUAACCUGCACGGGCAGAUGGAACCACGUGAUUUACGUGUGAGGCCUUUAUUAGACUGCAAAAGGCCAUAUUACAGCCUUUAUAGACUGUGCACGUAGUUAAGAGAGUUCUAAGGCAACUUCGCCAAUGAAAACAACUUGGGACGUUGUAGCGCAUUAAGAAUGGAACGAUUAGUCCAAAGGUAACCUGCGCAGGCUGGUGAAACCACGUGAUUUACGUGUGAGGCCUUUAUUAGACUGCAAAAGGCCAUAUUACAGCCUUUAUAGGACUCUGCACGUAGUUAGGAGUGUUGUAAGGCAACGACACUAAUGAUAACGACUUGGGACGUUGAAGCGUAUUGAGACUGAAAGGAAGAGUACAAUGGUAACCUGCACAGGCAAAUGGAACCACGUGAUUUACGUGUGAAGCCUUUAUUAGACUAAAAAAGGCCAUAUUACAGCCUUUUUAGGACUGUGAACGUAGUUAAGAGUGUUGUAAGGCAACGGCGAUAAUGAAAACGACUUGGGACGUUGAAGCGCAUUGAGACUGGAAGGAAUAGUCCAAUGGUAACCUGCACAGGCAAAUGGAACCACGUGAUUUACGUAUGAGGCCCUUAUUAGACUGCAAAAGGCCAUAUUACAGCCUUUAUACGACUGUGCACGUAGUUAAGAGUGUUGUAAGGCAACGGCGCUAAUGAAAACGACUUGGGACGCUGUAGCGCAUUGAGACUGUAAGAAAUAGUCCAAUGGUAACCUGCACAGGCAGGUGAAACCACGUGAUUUGCGUGUGAAGCCUUUAUUAGACUGCAAAAGGCCAUAUUACAGCCUUUAUAGGACUGUGCACGUAGUUAAAAGUGUUGUAAGGCAACGGCGCUAAUGAAAACGACCUGGGACGUUGUAGCACAUUGAGACUUGAAGGACUAGGCCAAUGGUAACUUGCGCAGGCAAAUGGAACCACGUGAUUUACGUGUGAGGCAUGGAUUAGACUGCAGAAGGCCAUAUUACAGCCUUUAUAGGAUUAUGCACGUAGUUAAGAGUGUUGUAAAGGAACGGCGCUAAUGAAAACGACUUGGGACGUUGUAGCACAUUGAGACUGGAACGAUUAGUCCAAAGGUAACCUGCGCAGGCAGGUGAAAUCACGUGAUUUACGAGUGAAGCCUUUAUUAGACUGCAAAGACCAUAUUACAGCCUUUAUAGGACUGCGCACGUAGUUAAGAGUGUUGUAAGGCAACGACACUAAUGAAUACGACUUGGGACGUUGUAGCGCAUUGAGACUGGAAGGACUAGGCCAAUGGUAACCUGCACAGGCAAAUGGAACCACGUGAUUUACGUGUGAGGCCUUUAUUAGACUGCAAAAGGCGAUAUUACAGCCUUUAUAGGACUGUGCACGUAGUUAAGAGUGUUCUAAGGCAACUUCGCCAGUGAAAACAUCUUGGGACGUUGUAGCGCAUUGAGACUGGAACGAUUAGUCCAAAGGUAACCUGCGCAGGCAGGUGAAACCACGUGAUUUACGUGUAAGGCCUUUAUUUGACUGCCAAAGGCCAUAUUACAGCCUUUAUAGGACAGUGCACGUAGUUAAGAUUGUUGUAAAGCAACGGAGCAAAUGAAAACGACUUGGGACGUUGUAGCGCAUUGAGACUGGAACGACUAGUCCACUGGUAACCUGCACAGGCAGAUGGAACCACGUGAUUUACGUGUGAGGCCUUUAUUAGACUGCAAAAGGCCAUAUUACAGCCUUUAUAGGACUGUGCACGUGAUUAAGAGAGUUCUAAGGCAACUUCGCCAAUGAAAACAACUUGGGACGUUGUAGCGUAUUAAGAAUGGAACGAUUAGUCCAAAGGUAACCUGCGCAGGCAGGUGAAACCACGUGAUUUACGUGGGAAGCCUUUAUUAGACUGCAAAAGGCCAUAUUACAGCCUUUAUAAGAUUAUGCACGUAGUUAAGAGUUCUGUAAAGCAACGGCGCUAAUGAAAACGACUUGGGACGUUGUAGCACAUUGAGACUGGAACGAUUAGUCCAAAGGUAACCUGUGCAGGCAGGUAAAAUCACGUGAUUUACGUGUGAAGCCUUUAUUAGACUGCAAAGGCCAUAUUACAGCCUUUAUAGGAUUAUGAACGUAGUUAAGAGUGUUGUAAAGCAACGGCGCUAAAGAAAAAGACUUGGGACGUUGUAGCACAUUGAGACUGGAACGAUUAGUCCAAAGGUAACCUGCGCAGGCAGGUGAACUCACGUGAUUUACGUGUGAAGCCUAUAUUAGACUGCAAAGACCAUAUUACAGCCUUUAUAGGACUGUGCACGUAGUUAAGAGUGUUGUAAGGCAACGACACUAAUGAAAACGACUUGGGACGUUGUAGCGCAUUGAGACUGGAAGGACUAGGCCAGUGGUAAGCUGCGCAGACAGGUGGAUUCACGUGAUUUGCGUGUGAGGCCUUUAUUAGACUGCAAAAGGCCAUAUUACAGCAUUUAUAGGACUGUGAACGUAGUUAAGAGUGUUGUAAGGCAACGGCGAUAAUGAAAACGACUUGGGACGUUGAAGCGCAUUGAGACUGGAAGGAAUAGUCCAAUGGUAACCUGCACAGGCAAAUGGAACCACGUGAUUUACGUAUGAGGCCUUUAUUAGACUGCAAAAGGCCAUAUUACGGCCUUUAUACGACUGUGCACGCAGUUAGGAGUGUUAUAAGGCAACGGCGCUAAUGAAAACGACUUGAGACGCUGUAGCGCAUUGAGACUGUAAGGAAUAGUCCAAUGGUAACCUGCGCAGGCAGGUGAAUCCACGUGAUUUGCGUGUGAAGCCUUUAUUAGACUGCAAAAGGCGAUAUUACAGCCUUUAUAGGACUGUGCACGUAGUUAAAAGUGUUGUAAGGCAACGGCGCUAAUGAAAACGACCUGGGACGUUGUAGCACAUCGAGACUUGAAGGACUAGGCCAAUGGUAACUUGCGCAGGCAAAUGGAACCACGUGAUUUACGUAUGAGGCCUUUAUUAGACUGCAAAAGGCCAUAUUACGGCCUUUAUACGACUGUGCACGCAGUUAGGAGUGUUAUAAGGCAACGGCGCUAAUGAAAACGACUUGAGACGCUGUAGCGCAUUGAAACUGUAAGGAAUAGUCCAAUGGUAACCUGCGCAGGCAGGUGAAUCCACGUGAUUUGCGUGUGAAGCCUUUAUUAGACUGCAAAAGGCCAUAUUACAGCCUUUAUAGGACUGUGCAUGUAGUUAAAAGUGUUGUAAGGCAACGACGCUAAUGAAAACGACCUGGGACGUUGUAGCGCAUUGAGACUGGAACGACUAGUCUAAAGGUAAGCUGCGCAGGCAGGUGAAACCACGUGAUUUACGUGGGAAGCCUUUUUUAGACUGCAAAAGGCCAUAUUACAGCCUUUAUAGGACUGUGCAUGUAGUUAAAAGUGUUGUAAGGCAACGGCGCUAAGGAAAACGACCUGGGACGUUGUAGCACAUUGAGACUUAAAGGAUUAGGCCAAUGGUAACUUGCACAGGCUAAUGGAACCACGUGAUUUACGUGUGAGGCUUGUAUUAGACUGCAGAAGGCCAUAUUACAGCCUUUAUAGGAUUAUGCACGUAGUUAAGAGUUUUGUAAAGCAACGGCGCUAAUGAAAACGACUUGGGACGUUGUAGCACAUUGAGACUGGAACGAUUAGUCCAAAGGUAACCUGCGCAGGUAGGUGAAAUCACGUGAUUUACGUGCGAAGCCUUUAUUAGACUGCAAAGUCCAUAUUACAGCCUUUAUAGGACUGUGCACGUAGUUAAGAGUGUUGUAAGGCAACGACACUAACGAAAACGACUUGGGACGUUUUAGCGCAUUGAGACUGGAAGGACUAGGCCAAUGGUAAGCUGCGCAGAGAGGUGGAACCACGUGAUUUGCGUGUGAGGCCUUUAUUAGACUGCAAAAGGCCAUAUUACAGCCUUUAUAGGACUGUGAACGUAGUUAAGAGUGUUGUAAGGCAACGGCGAUAAUGAAAACGACUUGGGACGUUGAAGCGCAUUGAGACUGGAAGGAAUAGUCCAAUGGUAACUUGCACAGGCAAAUGGAACCACGUGAUUUACGUGUGUGGCAUUUAUUAGACUGCAAAAGGCCAUAUUACAGCCUUUAUAGGACUGUGCACGUAGUUAAGAGUGUUCUAAGGCAACUUCGCCAAUGAAAACAUCUUGGGACGUUGUAGCGCAUUGAGACUGGAACGAUUAGUCCAAAGGUAACCUGCGCAGGCAGGUGAAACCACGUGAUUUACGAGUGAAGCCUUUAUUAGACUGCAAAAGGCCAUAUUACAGCCUUUAUUGGACUGUGCAUGUAGUUAAAAGUGUUGUAAGGCAACGGCGCUAAUGAAAACGACCUGGGACGUUGUAGCGCAUUGAGACUGGAACGACUAGUCUAAAGGUAACCUGCGCAGGCAGGUGAAACCACGUGAUUUACGUGUUAGGCCUUUAUUAGACUGCCAAAGGCCAUAUUACAGCCUUUAUAGGACAGUGCACGCAGUUAAGAUUGUUGUAAAGCAACGGAGCAAAUGAAAACGACUUGGGACGUUGUAGCGCAUUGAGACUGGAACGACUAGUCCACUGGUAACCUGCACAGGCAGAUGGAACCACGUGAUUUACGUGUGAGGCCUUUAUUAGACUGCAAAAGGCCAUAUUACAGCCUUAAUAGGACUGUGCACGUAGUUAAGAGAGUUCUAAGGCAACUUCGCCAAUGAAAACAACUUGGGACGUUGGAGCGCAUUAAGAAUGGAACGAUUAGUCCAAAGGUAACCUGCGCAGGCAGGUGAAACCACGUGAUUUACGUGUGAGGCCUUUAUUAGACUGCAAAAGGCCAUAUUACAGCCUUUAUAGGUCUCUGCACGUAGUUAGGAGUGUUGUAAGGCAACGACACUAAUGAAAACGACUUGGGACGUUGUAGCGCAUUGAGACUGGAAGGACUAGGCCAAUGGUAAACUGCGCAGACAGGUGAAACCACGUGAUUUGCGUGUGAGGCCUUUAUUAGACUGCAAAAGGCCAUAUUACAGCCUUUAUAGGACUGUGCACGUAGUUAAGAGUGUUGUAAGGCAACGGCGAUAAUGAAAACGACUUGGGACGUUGAAGCGCAUUGAGACUGGAAGAAAUAGUACAAUGGUAACCUGCACAGGCAAAUGGAACCACGUGAUUUACGUAUGAGGCCUUUAUUAGACUGCAAAAGGCCAUAUUACAGCCUUUAUAGGACUGUGCACGUAGUUAAGAGAGUUCUAAGGCAACUUCGCCAAUGAAAACAACUUGGGACGUUGU